UACGGAGGGGGCUAGCGUUAAUCGGAAUUACUGGGCGUAAAGCGCACGCAGGCGGUCUGUCAAGUCGGACGUGAAAUCCCCGGGCUCAACCUGGGAACUGCAUUCGAAACUGGCAGGCUAGAGUUCUGUAGAGGGGGGUAGAAUUCCAGGUGUAGCGGUGAAAUGCGUAGAGAUCUGGAGGAAUACCGAUGGCGAAGGCGGCCCCCUGGACAAAGACUGACGCUGAGGCGCGAAAGCGUGGGGAGCAAACAGG
rnacentral:misc_RNA from 1 species